rnacentral:rRNA from 1 species
UGGGGAAUAUUGGACAAUGGGCGAAAGCCUGAUCCAGCCAUGCCGCGUGUGUGAAGAAGGUCUUCGGAUUGUAAAGCACUUUAAGUUGGGAGGAAGGGCAGUAAGCGAAUACCUUGCUGUUUUGACGUUACCGACAGAAUAAGCACCGGCUAACUCUGUGCCAGCAGCCGCGGUAAUACAGAGGGGGCAAGCGUUAAUCGGAAUUACUGGGCGUAAAGCGCGCGUAGGUGGUUCGUUAAGUUGAAUGUGAAAGACCCGGGCUCAACCUGGGAACUGCAUCCAAAACGGGCGAGCUAGAGUAGGGGAGAGGGUGGGGGAAUUUCCUGUGUAGCGGUGAAAUGCGUAGAUAUAGGAAGGAACACCAGUGGCGAAGGCGACCACAUGGGCUCAUGCAGACACUGUGGUGCGAAAGCGUGGGGAGCAAACAGA